rnacentral:rRNA from 1 species
UAGGGAAUCUUCGGCAAUGGACGAAAGUCUGACCGAGCAACGCCGCGUGAGUGAAGAAGGUUUUCGGAUCGUAAAACUCUGUUGGUAGAGAAGAACGUUGGUGAGAGUGGAAAGCUCAUCAAGUGACGGUAACUACCCAGAAAGGGACGGCUAACUACGUGCCCCAG